rnacentral:tRNA from 1 species
GCCUGGCUGGCUCAGUCAGUAGAGCAUGUGACUCUUAAUGUCAGGAUCAUGAGUUCAAACCCCAUGUUGGGUG